CUCCAUUCAGUAGGACAUAUACUAAAAUUGGAACAAUACAGACAAGAUUAGCCUGGCCCCUUGACAAGGUUAAAACAAAAAAAUAA
ensembl:snRNA U6 U6 spliceosomal RNA